UACGUAGGGUGCAAGCGUUAAUCGGAAUUACUGGGCGUAAAGAGCGCGCAGGCGGUCGUUCAAGUCGAGUGUGAAAGCCCCCGGCUCAACUGGGGAGGGUCACUCGAUACUGAUCGACUCGAAGGCAGGAGAGGGAAGUGGAAUUCCCGGUGUAGUGGUGAAAUGCGUAGAUAUCGGGAGGAACACCAGUGGCGAAGGCGACUUCCUGGCCUGUUCUUGACGCUGAGGCGCGAAAGCUAGGGGAGCAAACGGG
rnacentral:rRNA from 1 species